UGCCGUUCCAUACUGGUACCGUGAAUUGGCAGCUCGGAGGCCAAGCUGGUCUAAGGAGAAGACUGUCGCUUGGUGUUUCACCAUGUAUCUUGUGUCAGCGUUUCUCAUUUCUGUGACAUGGAUGGAGUGGAUGCUUCAACUCUAUGGUGCUCCCGAAAUUUCACCUCCACCCACAGUGUACCACUGGUCUCUUGGAGAUAACGGAACGGUGAAAUUGAGAGGAGAAGAUAUCUGCUCCACUGCCGAAUACAGUGGUGGUGGCAUUUUGCUCCCAACCUGCCUGCAAAAAGAUUGCAAGUGGAAAAUGGUACCUGCUCCAGAUGUUGUGGAAGAUUCCUGUGCAUUACAGAUAAGUUGUUGCAACUGUCGCCGUAGGUGUUGUUACAUCGAUAUCGGCGAUUUUAGCAACACCUGUGUGUCGGAUCCAAGCAGCUGCAUGUCAGAUGGUGUUACGUGGUCAGUCUGGCUGAAAAUAUGUGAUCAGCCACAAAUAUAUGACAGGAGACUCCCUGUUAUUCUUUCUGAACAUGAGGAAUAUGAAUACAGUUUUAUUCUGUGGUACAUGUACGAUGACCAUGUAGUAUGCUCUGUUCGAGAUAACAAUACAGAGUUAUCGGCUAGCAUCAAUGUGACCGCCAUCGUUCCCAUAUCGACUUGGUUCCAACUGGCGUGUACGUUCAAUUUCUCGAAGCUCAAUGUUGAAGCUGUUGCAGUUUAUGUCAACGGCUUACAAGUUCAAUCUCUAUCAGUGGAUCUUAACACCUUGCAUCACUAUCCUAAGUAUGGAUACUGGAUUGGGGGAAAUCAUUUACUAAUUUUGCCUUGGUAUUACUAUCAUAGUGACAUAUCGUUGUCCAUAAGCAACCUUAUUGUGGCAGAUGGAAUUAUGGGACAAGAUGACAUUCAAAACCUGUUCUCGUGUGGAUCCAUAGAUUGGAGUCUUCAACUUCGCAGUUUGGUGAGUGUCCCUAUCAAAGAUAACGCACAGAGCAUCCGCCUCAACUGCACGGCCAGUGCAGUCACCGGCCCCUCCAUAGCCUGGCGCCUCUACCAACCAAAGUGUGACCUUUGGAAAGUCUUACACGGCGGUAACGACUCUGACAGCUUGCGUAUCUAUAAUCAUAGAGUUUCGUCGUGCGUGCGGACGUCCUCUUUGACGAUUUCUUCUUACCGGGAACGAGGUUAUGCUGGCUCCGUUAUUGAAUGUUCAGCGUCUACUCGAGGGACCUCAACGACCAAGUUUACUACCUUUACCAUUGCAGAGGUUGGUGACGAAUCCCAAAUCUUCCUUGGUGAAAAUGCCACACUACAAGCUCCCCUAGAGGCAGCUGUACAGGACGAAGGCAUACCAAUUGAAAUUUUCAAGAACAUAGAUAGCAAAAACGACAUCUGUGGCGGUAGAAGAAUAUAUGCAAAGGAAGACAAAUUAUAACAAUUGCUCCUUUGAUCGUGGACGAAGGCGAGUACCAGGAAGUAACUGCUGAGGUGGACGGCCAAGUGUAUGUAGCAAAUAUCCCCGGUCUCCAAACAGCAGAGAAUGUCACCUUAAUUGUGGUAGUGACGGUGUUUAAAUUGCCGAACAACGAUUCGCAGUUGAAUGUCAGUAGCCCGUCUGAUCAACCGAUUCGAUUUGGAAGUCUGGUUGUUGGUUUAGAUAUAAUCGACAUACAGGGAAAUGUGUUCACAGAAUAUGAAGAUGAGCCUGUCAAACUUACAUUUCCUGUUUUAGAGAUUCAAGACAUGGAAAUUCCUAUUUGCUCUUUUCGGUCCGACGAAGACGAGUAAGAUAUGUUACUAUUUUAUUUAAAGCAUUAUUUAAAACGUGGGAGAAUGGCUAAUUGUAUGCAAUGAUUCCGUCGAUGUUUUCUCUUUGUGUUCGACAAAGGUGACUGAUUCCUUGCUGAUUAUGCUGAGUUUGUCAGGAGUCGUCAUUAUAACACAUUUGAAUGUACUUUCUACCAUAGAGGAAGGACACAGAAGGAGCUACAUCUCGGGCACGUCAAAGUGCUCGACGAUCAUCGUCGCCUAGUCAGACGAACAAUAGUAAACAUUCCAAAGCCGGGCAAGUUGGGCCAGUAAUAUCCUAAUAACAUUUGUGGAGUUUUCUAUGCAAUUAACUGCAACUUGUCGCAGUUGCCGGAAAUAGAAAUAAUAUAUAUUUAAAAAAAAAAAGAUUUUGAUGCACUUUUCCGUUAUCCAUGCAACGCUUGUAAUUUAUUUCUGUCACUCCAAAACAUCAGUUUUCAAAGUCUUUCUACAAAUUUGGCCAAGACGAGCCAAAAGACUGGCCUUUUUCACAAAAGAAAAGAAAAAC
rnacentral:misc_RNA from 1 species